rnacentral:lncRNA from 1 species
CCGGCAGCAUGCUUUCACAAUUCAACAAGUCAUACUAAAUGGCCUCCGGCCUCACAAGUAUAAUCUACCAUGGGCGAUAACAGAGCAUCUACUGAAUUUAGAUUACAAGAACAGUUGAGUAGAAGAAAUUACUCAAUUCCUAACUAGGAAGAUUCACAGUUCGAGCCUCAAACACCACUUGCACGCUUCCUGGAGCGACUACUAGCUGGGGGGGUGCAAAACAGAAAAUAUGUGAGUGGACAAAAACCAGAUUUGCAGUUAAAACAAUAUAGUAACCCCACCGUGUAAAAAUAAUGCUCAAGUCAUGCAGGUUCACAAUUCAAUAUUUAAUUAUUCAAAACAUGAUUCAUUUAAAACUCUUCAAAAUACAAAUCAUAUCCUUCAUAAACUUCAUUCUCUCAAUCUUACAACUCCUGCCAAACCACUGAAAAACUUUAAUUCUUCACUUACUCAACUAUACGUAUACAUAUAAAUAUACAUAUAUAUAUAACUAUAAAUAGCUAUACGAUAUACUCAUCACACUACCUAGGUACCGGGGAAACAAUCCAACUGGGGGAUUAUUUGACUAGUCCGCAGGAUUUUCAGGUGCUAUCCUGCGUCUAGGGAUGAGCGGUCCAACCGGGGGACGAAACUCCAAAGCUCCCACACUGGAACAUCCAACGUCAUGUGUAGCUCCCAAAUUAUGUCCUACGCGUGCAGACUGGAUCAUCACACACCGGAACAUCCAACGCCACGCCAUGGGUGAUGACCCUAAACACUAUACAUAGUCUUUCCAUACGCCGGAACAUCCAACGCCGCAUAUGGAAAGUGUCUCACACGUCGGAACAUCCAAUGCCACGAGUGAGACGGGUAACCUAUUCUUCCCACACGCCGGAACAUCCAACGCCGCGUGUGGAAAGUCUAAUAACUGAGGAAGAUACUUACAUAGUGUAAUCAUACAACUUCUCUCAAGAACUCCUCAUAAUCAAGUUCUUCCACAACACCCUUCAACAACCCAAGUAUCUCGUCUAUAGAGAAUAUUUAUAUACUUCCCCACAACUCUUAUAAAAAUACACUCUCAAAACCCAAAAUGCCAAACUCACAAUAUAUUGCCAAAGUGCUAUACAACAUCAAAUUCAUCUCAUGAAUAUAAUAUAUUUAAUAAGCCAUAAAAACAUUAUGCAAAAAUCCUUCAUCAAUAAAACCAUGCAUUUGAUUGAAAACAAAGUCCACUCACAAAUAUUCUCACGCUGCCUAACCACGUGAGGGUCCUGCCUGCUGAGUACGUGCAGUUGAAACACCUAUUUCAAGAUACGAACCGUUAAUUAAUAUAAAAUUACUUCGAAGCGGAAAUCACAAAUUAAAUGCUUAAAUCCCCAAAUUCCCAAUACGUGCACGUUGAAGAAGGUAUCCUAAGGUCCGAUUACAGGUUUAGAAAUCGUUCACGAUUUUACGGUUAUCGCUAACCUGCAAACUUUGCAUUAUUGAAUCGGAAUAUCCGGGGCUCCGAUUCAUAAUCCGUGAAGUCCCAUACGGUCCUAGGAAUACCUAGAACAACAUACUUUAAUUCAGAAAAGAUCUAACUGUUGGAACCUAUCGAACCCGAAUAACGCACAAUAUGUGAAGAUCCGUUUGAUAGUUAGACGACAUCUGAAUUGAGAUCCGCGAAUUCCUAUGCGCUCGUGACAACCUAAGGAUUUCAUCGGGUUAAAUUGCAUCUUCACCAACUGAAAGGACCCGCCCCGAAUUUUCUCAAAAUCCGAGACGAACCCUUUGGAAUUCCUGACACACCCCGAUGUCAGGCCCACUUACUAAAAACCGAGACUUCCUGCCGAAAUUUCGGCAGAGUCUCCCCUAUAAUUUGGACAUUUCCCAAAAUUUCAACCUGCAUAAAAACGCAUUUAAUAUCCACAACUGGCAGCAUGCACAAUAUAAUUUCAUGCAAAUUCUCAUAAAUGGCCUUCGGCCUUCCAAUAAUUCUCAAACAACUACUAAACAAUUCAAAUACCAAAUAUGACUAAUAUUUAGUCUGCGACUGCACCUAAUAACCUUAGGCUGCCUACGUACCCUCCUUGAGGGAUCAAGCCACACGUAGUUCUUCCCUAAAACCCAAUUCCACACUUGGGCGAUACCUUAUUUCAUUUCUCUGGAUUUCAUAUAAUCUCCCCAUACGCCGGUACAACCAACGCCACGUAUGGGGCCUGUCAACGCGCCGGAUAACCUACGCCACGUGCGACCAUGCCAUACUAUCAUAAUAUCUCCCCAUACGCCGGUACAACCAACGCCACGUAUGGGGUCUGUCUCAACGCCGGAAAACCUACGCCACGCGAGACCUGCACCUCAUAUCACAUAACUCCCCAUACGCCGGUACAACCAACGCCACGUAUGGGGCCUGUCCCAACGCAGGAUAACCUACGCCACGCGGGACCUCAAUUUCAUCUCACAAAUCUCCCUAUACGCCGGUACAACCAACGCCACGUAUGGGGUCUGUCGACACGCCGGAUAACCUACGCCAUGUGCGACCUGAACAUCAUAUCACAUAGCUCCCCAUACGCCGGUACAACCAACGCCACGUAUGGGGCAUAUCCGCACGCCGGAUAACCUACGCCACGUGGGACCUCGCUUUCACUUGGUGGUACUUGUAGUAAAUCCAACAUCCGGGGAGGUACCUAAAGUAGUGCGUAUAGCACUCCAAACUGACAUUCUAGACUCUGUUGUACCCUUGUACAACCAUAUAUAAUUAUAAUUAUAUAAAUUAAUUCUUAUAUUGUGUAACCCUCCACAAUAGUCUAGCUCCCGAUAAUCCCCCCUAGAAAGGUGAGAUUACUCCGGGAGACUCACGGUCAACCAAGGGUCAAACUACUCUAACCCUGGCCAACCGGACCUGCAGAACCCACGACCUCCAAUUUCUGAUUCGAAAGUCUCUAUGGGUUCUACCAGGUAUAGGACACUUGUCCUGCAAGUUUGGUUCAGAUCGGACGGUCGGAUUUCUCACGAUCGCACGAUCUGACGGUUAAUAUAUAAAAUAUAAACUUAAAUUAUUAUUCGGAACAUCCGGGGUUCCGAUUCACGAUCCUUGAAUUCCUACACAAUCCUAGAAAUACCUAGAUUAACAUAUAUUAAAUUUGGGACCAUCCGACGGUCCCAACCUAUCGAACCAGGAUAACGCAUAAUAUGCGAUUAUCCGUUCGAUAGUCAAACGACGUCCGAAUUGAGAUCCGCGAAAUCCUACGCACUCUUGACAACCUAAGGAUCUCAUCGGAACACAUUGCCACUUUUUCUACAGUGCCCACGCACCGCCGCACGCGCCGGCAGCGCGUGGGUGCCCAAAGCGAUAACGCUUCGCCGGAAAAUCUCAAAACCACGGCUCCAAACUCCUACCCUAGGUAUAACACCCUAUUUGGAGCCACUUUUGUUCUUGGACCUACCCCAAAAAGUGACCGGAAAUGGCCGAUCACAGCGGCCGAAGUUUCGGCCGAUUUUCAAUUCGAAAAUCGAGUUGUCUACGCUAAGAAUCGAUCUAAUCCUACCCAACCAUCAGCUAGAGCAGCUCGAGAGGUUCAAAAUCCAUACCUGGGUCGACGGAAAUGGUGGCCGGAGGAGGGAGAUCGACGGCGUUGAAAUUCCGGCGACAUCCGGGCAAAAAUCGCCAUUUUCCGGCGGCUGGAGCGGCGGCCGAUGGCGGGGAUGGGCUGGGUCGUGACGCCGAGGUCGAGCCGGUUCUUUUGACACCGGCCCCGUCCGCAGCCGCGGCCGGUGGCCGGAGUUACGAAGAGAGAGAGAGGAGAGGCCGACGGGAGAGAGAGAGGAG